UUAUGAGGGUUUAAGGAACCCGGAUGGAAAGACGCUCAAGCUUAGAGUUAACAGUGUUUAAAAUGUUUGUACAAGAAGAGGCCCCUCAUUUGGAAACAGUUUGGAAUUUCUAGCACCUAUGUACUG